GGGCGUGUAGCUCAGUGGUAGAGCUCUGGUUUUACACACCAGCGGUCGUGGGUUCGAUCCCCUCCGCGCCCACCA
rnacentral:tRNA from 6 species